rnacentral:rRNA from 1 species
UACGAGGGGGGCUAGCGUUGCUCGGAAUCACUGGGCGUAAAGCGCACGUAGGCGGCUUUCUAAGUCAGGGGUGAAAUCCUGGAGCUCAACUCCAGAACUGCCUUUGAUACUGGGAAGCUCGAGUCCGGAAGAGGUGAGUGGAACUCCGAGUGUAGAGGUGAAAUUCGUAGAUAUUCGGAAGAACACCAGUGGCGAAGGCGGCUCACUGGUCCGGUACUGACGCUGAGGUGCGAAAGCGUGGGGAGCAAACAGG